rnacentral:rRNA from 1 species
UACGAAGGGGGCUAGCGUUGCUCGGAAUCACUGGGCGUAAAGCGCACGUAGGCGGAUCUUUUAAAGUCAGGGGGUGAAAUCCCGAGGCUCAACCUCGGAACUGCCCUUGAUACUGGGGAUCUCGAGUCCGGAAGAGGUUGGUGGAACUCCGAGUGUAGAGGUGAAAUUCGUAGAUAUCGCAGGAACACCAGUGGCGAAGGCGGCUUACUGGUCCUAACU